UGUCAUUACAUCAAAUACAUCAAUCUUUCUAUCAGAAAAAAAUCAUCUUAAUAGACGGAAGAAUUUGUGUAAAGAUGAUUAAUCCAAGCUUAAAAAUUUCAAGGAAAAUAUUCAAUCCAAUUGUUCAAAUAACUAGAGGAGAAAUUCAAGCAACUUUGCCUCGUAACCCAGUACCAAAAUGGGAGAUGAUGGCACAUGGAUUAUUUUUUUUCGUUGGGCUGAUGGCAGUACCAACUUACAUUGCAUUUAAUAUAAAACAUUACCGAGGUGACAGUAAAUAAGCAUCAAAUUAUAAUCAUCACAUAAAUUAUCUUCUCUAUACAAUUAAUAUACUAUAAUAGUGAAACUAAAGAGUACGUAAUUAUACUCAAUAUUAUUAGAUGAAAUAAAAAUUUCUUUAAUGUCUUGGUGACGAGUA